GACGAACGCUGGCGGCGUGCUUAACACAUGCAAGUCGAACGGAGCGAAUGAAAGCUUGCUUUUAUAAGCUUAGUGGCAAACGGGUGAGUAACACGUAGGCAACCUGCCGACAGGAUGGGGACAACAUUCCGAAAGGAAUGCUAAUACCGAAUGAAGCGGAGGAGAGGCAUCUCCCCUCCGUGAAAGAUGGCCUCUUUUUAUGCUAUCACCUGUCGAUGGGCCUGCGUCUGAUUAGCUGGUAGGUGAGGUAACGGCUCACCUAGGCGACGAUCAGUAGCCGGUCUGAGAGGAUGAACGGCCACAUUGGGACUGAGACACGGCCCAGACUCCUACGGGAGGCAGCAGUGGGGAAUCUUCCGCAAUGGGCGCAAGCCUGACGGAGCAACGCCGCGUGAGUGAAGAAGGUCUUCGGAUCGUAAAGCUCUGUUGAUGGGGACGAACGUGCCUAAUGCGAAUAGUUUUAGGCAAUGACG
rnacentral:rRNA from 1 species